rnacentral:rRNA from 1 species
AAGGAAUAUUGGGCAAUGGUCGGAAGACUGACCCAGCCAUGCCGCGUGCAGGAAGACGGCCCUAUGGGUUGUAAACUGCUUUUGUCAGGGAAUAAACAUUCGUACGUGUACGGAUUUGAAGGUACCUGAAGAAUAAGCAUCGGCUAACUCCGUGCCAGCAGCCGCGGUAAUACGGAGGAUGCGAGCGUUAUCCGGAUUCACUGGGUUUAAAGGGUGCGCAGGCGGACGAAUAAGUCAGGGGUGAAAUCCUACGGCUUAACUGUAGAACUGCCUUUGAUACUGUUCGUCUGGAGUAAAGUUGGAGUGGGCGGAAUGUGUUGUGUAGCGGUGAAAUGCUUAGAUAUAACACAGAACACCGAUCGCGAAGGCAGCUCACUAAGCUUUAACUGACGCUCAUGCACGAAAGCGUGGGGAUCAAAC